rnacentral:rRNA from 1 species
UUAAAGGGCCGCGGUAUUCUGACCGUGCGAAGGUAGCAUAAUAAUUAGUCUCCUAAUUAGAGGCUUGUAUGAAUGGUCGGACAAGAUGGAAACUGUCUCUACACAAAAAAUAAAAUUUAAUUUUUAAGUAAAAAAGCUUAAAUGUAAUGGAGGGACGAUAAGACCCUAUAAAGCUUUAUAAUAUUUUUCUUUCUUAUAAAUUAUAUUGUUAUUAACAUAUUUUAGAAUUUGUAUUAUUUUACUGGGGCGGUAAAAGUAUAAUAAAUAACUGCUUUUAUUUUGUAUAACAAUCUUAAUUGGUAAUAAAUUGAUCCAUUAUUAAUGAUUAUAAGAACAAGUUACUUUAGGGAUAACAGCGUAAUUCUUUUUGAGAGUUCUUAUCGAAAAAAGAGUUUGCGACCUCGAUGUUGAAUUAAGGUUGCCUUAAGGUGCAGCAGUUUUA